rnacentral:lncRNA from 1 species
UAGAUAACUCUUAGGGCCUGUUUGGUUCGCUUCUUUUUCACCCUGAAAUCGGAAACGGAAUGGAUAAAUCCGUUUGUGGGUGUUUGGCACGUGGGAGUUCCAUUCUGAUUCCGAUUCCCGAGUGGAAUGGGAAUUCCCCAAUCACCUUUUUUUCAAUCCGGCCUAGGAGGCCGGAUUGAAAGUUGAAUCCGGACGGAAUGGAUAUUUAUUCGGAUUAAAUUUAUUUUUUCAACUUUUUUAAUUAAAAUAUGAGUUAAAAUUUUAAAAUUAAAUAUAUAGUUUUAAAUUUUAAUUUAAACUUAAAUUAAAAAUUAAAAUUUAAU